AUCAGCUUCAUGAGGAGCCUGCCGUUCUUCUGCCGCGGCCAGGUGGUGCGUGGCUUCGGCCGGGGCUCCAAGCAACUGGGCAUCCCCACAGCCAAUUUUCCUGAACAAGUGGUAGACAAUCUUCCAGCGGAUGUGUCUGUCCACUGGCAUUUAUUAUGGUUGGGCCAGCGUUGGGAGCGGCGAUGUCCAUAAAAUGGUGGUGAGCAUUGGAUGGAACCCGUACUAUAAGAAUGUGAAAAAGUCCAUGGAAACCCACAUCAUCCAUACCUUUAAAGCGAACUUCUAUGGGGAAAUUCUCAAUGUGGCCAUUGUUGGCUAUCUCAGACCUGAAAAAAACUUUGAUUCUUUAGAGUCACUUAUUUCUGCGAUUCAAGGUGAUAUUGAAGAAGCUAAAAAGCAACUGGAUUUACUCGAACAUUUGAAACUCAAAUAUGAAAUUUCUUCCAAGUUUCUAAAGGCAAAAUUAUGAAUGGCCACUAA